rnacentral:tRNA from 1 species
GGCGCUAUCGUCUAGCGGUCUAGGACACGAGGUUUUCAGCCUCGGUACCUGGGUUCGAAUCCCAGUAGCGUCACAA